CCGGUAUGAGUAGCGAAAGACAGGUGAGAAUCCUGUCCACCGAAUGACUAAGGUUUCCUGGGGAAGGCUCGUCCGCCCAGGGUUAGUCGGGACCUAAGCCGAGGCCGACAGGCGUAGGCGAUGGACAACAGGUUGAUAUUCCUGUACCCGUUGUUUUUGUUUGAGCAAUGGAGGGACGCAGGAGGCUAAGAAGUGCAGACUGAUGGAUAUGUCUGUUCAAGCAGUAAGUCUUGGUAGGAGUCAAAUGCUUCUACCUAUACGGACAAGCUGUGAUGAGGAGGGAAAUAAUAGUACCGAAGCUUCUGAUGUCACACUGCCAAGAAAAGCUUCUAGUGAGAAAACAACGGCCCGUACCGCAAACCGACACAGGUAGUCGAGGAGAGAAUCCUAAGGUGAGCGAGAGAACUCUCGUUAAGGAACUCGGCAAAAUGACCCCGUAACUUCGGGAGAAGGGGUGCUGCUCUAACGAGCAGCCGCAGUGAAUAGGCCCAAGCGACUGUUUAUCAAAAACACAGGUCUCUGCAAAAUCGAAAGAUGACGUAUAGGGGCUGACGCCUGCCCGGUGCUGGAAGGUUAAGAGGAGUGCUUAGCGUAAGCGAAGGUA
rnacentral:rRNA from 1 species